CUUUCACAUGGGCAGCAUUUAGUUCAAUUCAGAACUGCAGAUAGUAUAGCCUGCACGGCAGCAAUGGGAUGUCUGAGCAUGAGGGGCUGACUUCCGAGCRCCUCCGCCAAGCCCGGCUGUACGCUUCUCCUGACCUACCCUGGAAUUGUGCCCCUUGCCAUCCGCCCACCUUGUCUCUGCGGAAGGAGGCAGCGCGACCUGCGCAGCGCAGCAAGACAAAACUAGGCAUCACAACAAAGCUGCAGACCAGCAAACGAAGCUAAGUGAGGGCAAUUUGACCAAUGUCUUCUGUGUCAGUUCCCCAGCAGUCAAAGCAUGUUAUCAGGUCUCCAAGACCUACAGCUUGCGAAGACUGGAAAGGAAGACAAAUAAGGUUGGUUCAAUGUCCUCAGGGGGCGGAGAAGGGUGAAGAAAGAGGACAAGAUUCAGACUGGACACACAUACCAGAAAAAAGCAUUUGCCUUCAAAAAGUCUUACUCCACCUCCCCGUAAAAAUGUAAUGCCAACAAAGGAAAAAGAUGUUGCAAGUCAUGCAGAGCACCUACCACAGAAGUAUGCUAAAAUACUGUUCUAAUCAAUGUACAAUUUGUACAGUUUUUAAUGCAUCAUUGGGAAAUUAUCUGAAGUUUACAACUUUUAAGAAACCCCAGUCUAAGAUUUGUUUAUUCACCUAAAGAUUUGUUCCCAAAGGAUCUCACUGCUGGAGAAUUAGCAAGAUUGGUUAACAGACACACACAGCUUGACACAACGAGCAAAGCCAGACCUGUGUGACAUCUGUCAUCUAUAUUUCUGUGAGCACUCGUGUGGGGAAGGGAGAGAGAAGGAAGGAAGAAGUGGGGCAAUACACAGGGCAGAGUAGUGCCUUAUG
rnacentral:lncRNA from 1 species